ensembl:lncRNA
CACGCACACACACAGACACACGCACACACACAGACACACACACAAACACACAGACACACGUUCAUUCUCUCUGUCUCUGUUUGUGUGAGCGUUUGAUUUGGUCUAUGUUGCACACAUACACACACACACACAUACACACACACACACACACACACACACACACACACACACACACAGAGAGACAGACACAAACCUGAUCACUCUCUCUGUCUCUCUCACACACUCAUUACACAUGUAGAUACAUAGGCCUCUAUUCACACACACACACACACACACACACGAUCACUCUCUCUGUCUCUGUUUGUGUGAGCGUUUGAUUUGGUUGAGGUUGUACCAGCAUAAUGAUUUUAUUUAUAUAGCACAAUAAAAUUGUCUCAAGGAAUAUAAUUAAAAUCUAUUCAAGUACCCACAAUCUCAGUAGACAGUAUUGGAGACAAAGAAUUUGCCAUAGAUGAUAUUCAGGCGUUUCUAAUGAUUUUAUUAGAUUUCUUUAUUAGUCUACGUUACAAAUUUGUGACUGACCGAUAGUGAAUGGUGCUUAUCUCCUGGUAAUUGGGCUGUAAGUUAUUCCCAGAGAUAUCAUUCUCAUUUAUUUGUUUGCUGUUCAAAGUUCAAUACACUUUAUUUUACCACUUUGUCACUUUACAGUCUUAUAUCUCAUUUGGCUUAUGUCCACUUCUCAGGUAUUUGCAUUUGCAUAGCUGUUAGCAUUGUUAGCAUUGUUAGCUAUGUUUGUUUAUUUAGUUCUGUUAGCAUUGUUAGCUAUGUUUGUUUAUUUAGUUCUGUUAGCAUUGUUAGCAUUGUUAGCUAUGUUUAUUUAUUUAGUUCUGUUAGCAUUGUUAGCAUUGUUAGCUAUGUUUGUUUAUUUCGUUCUGUUAGCAUUGUUAGCUAUGUUUGUUUAUUUAGCAUUGUUAGCAUUGUUAGCUAUGUUUAUUUAUUUAGUUCUCAGUUACAUGUGUGCACUCCUGUGAGCUGGGAUGUUGGCUGUGUUAGUUACUAGCCUGAUGGUCAAUAAGUAAGUAAUACAUUCGUCAUUAAUGAAUAAAAUAAUUAAUAAAUCGCUAGAAAAAAAAUUGUUCUUUGUCCACCAACACUCACUUUAGCAUAUUCAUGAACCAAAAACCAUCACCAGGCUGAUUUUCCAUAAGAGACAAACACACACACACACACACACACACACACACAGACAGACAGACACACAGACACACACACAAACACAGACAGACACGCACACACACAGACACACGCACACACACAGACACACACACAAACACACAGACACACACAC